rnacentral:rRNA from 1 species
UUGGAGGCAGCAGUGGGGAAUAUUGGUCAAUGGGCGCAAGCCUGAACCAGCCAUCCCGCGUGAAGGAAGAAGGCGCUAUGCGUUGUAAACUUCUUUUUCAGGGGAAGAAUGUUAUCUACGAGUAGGUAAUUGCCGGUACCCUGAGAAUAAGCAUCGGCUAACUCCGUGCCAGCAGCCGCGGUAAUACGGAGGAUGCGAGCGUUAUCCGGAUUUAUUGGGUUUAAAGGGUGCGCAGGCGGAUUGAUAAGUCAGUGGUGAAAUACUGCAGCUUAACUGUAGAAUUGCCGUUGAUACUGUUAAUCUUGAGUAUGGUUAAGGUAGGCGGAAUGUGUAAUGUAGCGGUGAAAUGCUUAGAUAUUACACAGAACACCGAUUGCGAAGGCAGCUUACUGAACCAUAACUGACGCUGAGGCACGAAAGCGUGGGGAGCGAACAGGAUUAGAUACCCCGGUAGUCAC